GUUUACUUCCGGUGCAGGUUACUUUCUUAUAUGCAAUGAAAUGUAGUGUGAAAUUUUCACUGUAGCACUGGAAAGGAUUAAACUUUAUUCAUGCAAAGUAUUUCUUUGGUUGAAAUAAAGUGUUCACAUGUUCUGAAGAGCAUUCUGUUGAAAAAUCUUAUAUGUGAAUUGGUCUGCAGAUGACACUUCAGCAUUAAAACAAAAGAUAUCAAGUUUUGAUGAAAAAGGAAGGAAGGAGGAAAAAUGGACCAAAACAGACCAAAACAGACCUUCAAAUGAACUCUAAAAGGUGCAAUAAAAUUGUUUAUCAUCUAAAAGUUGUCUUUUGUAUUCUAU